rnacentral:rRNA from 1 species
AACGAACGCUGGCGGCAUGCCUAACACAUGCAAGUCGAACGAAGCCUUCGGGCUUAGUGGCGCACGGGUGCGUAACGCGUGGGAAUCUGCCCUUGGGUUCGGAAUAACACAGAGAAAUUUGUGCUAAUACCGGAUGAUGUCUUCAGACCAAAGAUUUAUCGCCCAAGGAUGAGCCCGCGUAGGAUUAGGUAGUUGGUGGGGUAAUGGCCUACCCAGCAGACGAUCCUUAGCUGGUCUGAGAGGAUGAUCAGCCACACUGGGACUGAGACACGGCCCAGACUCCUACGGGAGGCAGCAGUGGGGAAUAUUGGACAAUGGGCUAAAGCCUGAUCCAGCAAUGCCGCGUGAGUGAUGAAGGCCUUAGGGUUGUAAAGCUCUUUUACCCGGGAUGAUAAUGACAGUACCGGGAGAAUAAGCUCCGGCUAACUCCGUGCCAGCCGCCGCGGUAAAAC